AUUGAACGCUGGCGGCAGGCCUAACACAUGCAAGUCGAACGAGUGGCGGACGGGUGAGUAAUGUCUGGGAAACUGCCCGAUGGAGGGGGAUAACUACUGGAAACGGUAGCUAAUACCGCAUACCAUCGGAUGUGCCCAGAUGGGAUUAGCUGGUAGGUGAGGUAACGGCUCACCUAGGGGACGAUCCCUAGCUGGUCUGAGAGGAUAACCAGCACAACUGGAAGUUUGACAAGGUCCAGACGCCUAGGGGGGGGAGAAGUGGGGCAUAUUGCGCAGGGGGCGCGAUGCUGAUGCAGGCGUGGCGGGGGGAGGAAGAGGGCCUUCGGUUUCUAGAGUGCUGUCAGCGGUGCGGCGUUACCCGCAGAAGAAGCACCGGCUAACUCAGUGCCAGCAGCCGCGGUAAUAC
rnacentral:rRNA from 1 species